CUUUAGGCUCAAAAGGAGUUUAAGGCGGAAGGAG
rnacentral:ncRNA from 1 species